GGAAAUAUAGUUCAGUAGCAGAACAUUCCCCUGAUAAGGGAAAGGUCGGUGGUGCGAUCCCGCCUAUUUCCACCA
rnacentral:tRNA from 3 species